UAGCUCUCUCCUCUGUGUGGAAUCGCAACGUAGGUCGCCUUGGAUGUCUGGCACCUCUCACUUAGCAGAAGGUUUUGGAGGCUCAGGCUGGGCCACGCUUUGGCCCGGGUCAGUGUUCCGUUCCUCCGGACGGCUUCCUCGUUUUCCACGAGAAGGAGCCGUGAAGACGGAAAGGAAGGGCGGAUGGAUGGCUUCUCCCGUGCUACCGAGUCCCUCUCCCCUUUUCCCCAAAGCGUGAGGGGCGGUCGACAGGAUCUUCUCUGAUGACAAAAGUCAGAGGCACCCCGGGUCAGACACCGUGCGAGGCGUUGGUGUGUUCUCGAGACGAGAACACGUCCCCGUCAGCGUUUCCUGUCGUUCUCGUUCCGAAAGGAUUCACGCGCCACCCCGUCUCCCUCAAGGUCUUAGGGCUGUCGUGCUCCGCAGCCGUCACGUGUCGUGGAUCCUGGGCACCACCACGCCACCCCGCCCCCGCCCCCCCGCCAUAGCUGUCGAUCGCUACGUGGCACGCCUACGUUUGCCCAAAAGAGCAGUCCGAUGGACAGCGUGGGUGCUUUUCCCAGCAGGCAGGCAGGAGACAAAACUCCCCUGCCAAAGGGGCCCUCCCGAAACGGGGAGUGAGGAAGACCUCCUUCUCUUCACGGCUGAAGUUCUCCCUGCCUUUCCUGGACGGGAAGGAUAGCACCUACGCCCGCUGCCGUCGGCGACUUUUAGUCCACCUGGAGAGGAAGAAAUUCUUUCCCGUGGCCGAACCCUGGCGGUUCGUUCGUGCUGCAGAGGACGUGGCCCUCUCUGACACACCCAGGAACCUCCUCGCUCCGGGUCGCUCCGGGUCGAGGAGAGGGAGUUCUGUUCUGUGGUUUAGAAUGGUGCUUAAAAAGGGACAUCGCUUACAAAGGGUCCUCGUCCCCCUUCCUAAACGGACGGCUCGGCUCGGAGGCGUGAGAUACGUUUCGCAUCCUCCUCGUCGUCUUCACUCAAAGUUUUAUUGGAGUUUUGAAGAUUUUA